rnacentral:lncRNA from 1 species
CUCACCUGCAGCCAGGACCCACAGCAUCACAUCCCCCAAACCAUAGUUUCCCAGGAGAUGCGAGGAGGCAACAGAAAAAGUGCUGGCACGGGGCGUUAUCCAGCUGUGGGUUUCCAUCCGGGAACUGCUGCUCACCGAUCCCCUUGCUCUUCCCCGCAGGGCUCUGCGUGAUGAGCGGCGCGGCCAUCUUCACAGUGAGGCACACGGACUGGCACCAAGCCUCGGAAAACACCUCCUAUGGCUUCGCCUAUAUCCUGGCGUGGCUCGCCUUCCCCCUGGCCCUCGCCAGCGGCAUCGUCUACGUCAUCCUACGGAAGCGCGAGUGAUGCCGCAGGAGGCGCAACCGGGGCACUCAUGACGUCCACGGAGGAGACGGAGGCGGGGGAAAAUAGACGAGAAAACGGAAAAGAAAAUUAACCAAAAAAAAAAAAAAAAAAAAAAAAAAAAAAAAAAACCCCCCCCCAAAAAAAAAAAAANNNNNNNNNNACCGACCCCAAAAGGAAACACUCAAAGGGUUACUUGUUAAUUGAGGAUGUAUAUAGUAUCUAUGGUUUAAAAAACCUAUUUAUAACACUUUUUACAUAUAUGUACAUAGUAUUGUUUGCUUUUGUUGACCAUAUGCUAUGUUUUAAAGCCUAAAGAAAGUGCCUAAGGAAUUAUUACUCCUAACAGUGUAACAAGAGCGCGGUGAUUUUUCUCUCAUGCAAGCCCUUUGUGAUCUGAGCUCUCCUUCCCCACCCCAGCCGUGCCAUUGGAGCCCCCCAGCUCUGGCUGCUGUCUCUCUGGCACUGGUCGGUGCCGCUCCGCAGAGCAGCGGGGAGUUACGCCUGGUGAUGUCGGCCGGAGAGCGCAGUGAUUUUUCUCUCAUGCAAGCCCUUUGUGAUCUGAGCUCUCCUUCCCCACCCCAGCCGUGCCAUUGGAGCCCCCCAGCUCUGGCUGCUGUCUCUCUGGCACUGGUCGGUGCCGCUCCGCAGAGCAGCGGGGAGUUACGCCUGGUGAUGUCGGCCGGAGGCUUGGCCCCUGCUCCUCCUGCCCACUGAGAUUUUGGCGGCUGGAGGGCACGGCCAGGGCUGGCGGAGGCGCUUCCAAAAGGUUCGAAGGGUUUUCGGAGCAAAGGACUGCCCAAAGUGCCUAAAUGACUUAUGUGCCUAAGUCCCAUUGCCUUGCCACCACACCCGCUGGGAAUUUGGGCUUUUAAAUCACUUAGGUUGAAUGCAGGCGAGCGCGGGCUGUGCUCCAUCCAAGCGUGUGCCCAGGGUGCCGGGGGCUGUGUGCGCCCUGAGCCAAGCCCCCGGGCACGGGCUGUCCCCGCCACGCAAUGUGCGUUGUCCUUGCCGUGGAGCUAGAGUACCGAUGAGCAGGAAGCAAACCCCGUAUAUCUAUGAAAUCAAAUGCCAGAUAUAUGAAAUGGUGCUAUCUAUUUACCAUUCCUUAUACUGCUAGCCAUUUAACCUUAUUCACUGGAAAUUCAGUUAACAACCUUGAGGUAAACAACGAAGCUAGAAAUGAGAAAUAAUUCUGUGUAAUAUAAACGAGCUUUAACUGCUUUUGUACUUAGACAACUUGCUCUUACUAUUAUUUUUAAUAAAGCAUUUAUAACCGAGGUUCCUUUCCCCCCGCCCCAUGGUCAAGAGGAACAGAAACAGCUCGGGGUGGAGGAGCCCUGCUGCCCUUCGCCCCUGGAGCACGAUGUCUGUCCUCUGUCUGUGUGUCAGAGAGGUGUCUGGCAAUGAAUUGAGCGGGCACCUGCACAGACCCCAGGCUGCCUUCUGAGGACUCCAGACACUGCGUUGCUGUCGUUGUUUUUGUUUCAUUUAGGGUUUUUUUCUUUUUUUUUUUUUUUUUUGGCUUUGUUUUUUUGUUUUUUUACCGACUGUGUGGACUAAGAAGCAAUGAAAUAAAAGUCAGAAUAACUCCGUUGCUUCUGCUUUUGGCGUUUUGGGGGUUAGAGCCAGGCUGUGCUCUGCCAACCUGCUCACAUGGCCAUCCUGCCGAAGGGCUCAACACCCCGUGCCAUGGUGCUGGUGUGCGCUCCUCUUUCCAGCUUUGUCCUAAGACGUCCCCACGAUGUGGCCACCAAAGCCACACAGCAGGAGCACGUUUGUGUCCUCUCCAUCCCCUAAGCACGAAGGGAUCAGGUCAGCACCAGCUGCCCGGGGGGGAGGGUGUCCAUCCAGCUCCACCACCCUGCACAGACAGCAGAACCCUUUCAGUUCUGUGCCCUGAAAUGCCCAGAGCCUGGGGGUGCAAUUAGGGCCGGGCAUAUUGUGGGCAGUGUGUGCAGCUCCGAUGGCUGGCACGGAAGCAUUUUGCUUCCGUUCACUCAUUCAUCUGGCUAUUAAACAUCCGAGCUGAAGCAGCAACUGGUGCUGGCACCAACACAAUGGCUCUUGCAACACUGCAUGUUGCUAGCAUCAGGCCAGAUCCUGAGGCACGAAACCCAGCCGCAUCCCAAGGGGAAGGAGCAGGAGGUGCCCCCGUGCCUCCCUGAGCGCUCAGCACACAGCCUGGCAUUGCUCUGUGACCGCUUGGCCUGGGGCUCCUGGCUGUGAUUCCCAGCUGGGACGGGAAGAUUUCCCUGGGUGCUUGUUGUGGUGUGUGCUGCCUGAGCCUAGGAGGGUUCUCGUUUGCCCCCGAGCUGCCACAUGGCUGUCCCAUACCCCCCCUCCCUGGGCUUGGCACCAUGCACCCAGCAGGAAGGACACAAAGGGCCCUUCCAGUCCCGUCUGUGCAGCAGGUAGGAACACAGGUGG